AGAGCAAGAGGGAGGAAGUUGCCUCGAGCCCCACCCCUUCCUUAUCCUUUCCUCCAAAAUUUCACAUCGCACGCAACCUUCUCUCGUGACGCCGCCGCCGCCUCCUCUUCUCUCCCCCGAUUCUCCUCGCGACUGCUCCGAGCCCCUCCUCUUCCCUGUGUCGGCUGCUCGACGCGCCGCGCCACCGCUGCGGGAGAAGGUGAACACGAGGAGAUGCAGGGUGGGUGGCCUCGCCGGGAACCACCGGCUGGCCAAGGACCGUGUGGGCUGGCACUUCCCCGCGGCGCCCUCCUUCCCUGACUUGGCCGUCGCCACUGCCCCCUUCCCUCAUGUCGAGGCUGGGCGUGCACAGAGUGGGCGAGUCGAUCGCGACGGAACCAGAGUCACUCGAGGCCGGGGUGCGAGAUGAUGUCCAGCAGGCGGAGGGGUGGCCAUGGGAGGAGUAGCCCACAAUGAAAUCCAUUUUCUCUUUGUGUGUGUGUUGGAUUUCGAUCGAGGAAGGGGAUGGCGUGGGGAUGAGGCGGUGGACAGAGGAAGAGAGCGAUGCUGGCUGAGCGGGCGGAUCUGGAUCCAAGCGGCCCCUCGUGUGUUUGAUCUGUAGAGCGGCCAGAGGAGCAGGCCAACAUAACACCAACGUGGUGAGCUUCCCCUCUCCGCCAUCUACCCCAGAUCUGAACAUCAACGACAAUUUCGCAAGGAAGAUGAGCUUCCAAAGUACAUCAUGCGCGGUAUGUACAUUCCUGUCCCGACGCCGUGCCCGACGCGCUGGACUGGAGGCAUAGCGGCGCCGUCACCAUGGUCAAGCAUCAGGGCAAGUGUGCAAUCUAGAAUUCUAGGUUUGGGAUCAUUUUAGGUUGUGCAGUUUAGAGAUGCUACGUAAGAACUGUGUGAGCACUCAUGUUUUACAAAUUAGGAUCACAACAGUGACACUGAAGAAGUGAAGAUGCAAGUAUCUAUUUACGUGAAGUCACUCCUUUGUACGUGUAUUGUUUCGUUCUACUCAAGUGCCUUGAUACAAGAUACUUAAAGUAUUUUUCGAUUUUACCUCAUUCCUUAUUACUAACUCACAACCAUACUUCCGGUUAAUGUGGUCUGGACUGUCAUUCAGGUGCCAUGGAAGGACUAAACAAGAUCACGACAGGCUCUCUUCUCAGCCUUCCUGAGUAGAAACUAAUCGGUUGUGACAGAUCCCACAAUGCUGGUUGUGGCGGGUAGGCUCAUGAACUAUGCUUAUAAGUUUGUGAUUAAUAAUGAUGGGAGUGACACGAAGGAUGACUACCCGUUUGGUGAAUCAGAUGAAACAUGCAACAAAAACAAACUGAAAAAGCAUGUGGUAACAAUUGAUGGCUACUGAAGCGACGUCCUGCCGGUGUACAUCAGGGACACCUGCACCAACGAUGACGCCUUCAAGGUGCCGUGGAAGUGAGGUCAGGGCAUGGGGAUCCGGGCAAGUGCGCCAAGGAGACCGACGCGUCUUACCCGCUCAUGACCCAAGCAGUGAUUUUCCAUUGCCUCUAGAUGUAUCAUCGACCGUCGCCAGCCUUUGGUUUUAGACGUGAACGUGCAUGUAGCAGUACUUCAUAUUGCUAUAUUUUGAUUCUGACGAAAUAACAUCACGUGGUACAAUCAAGAAAGUGGAAGGGGCGCAUCCUAUCUAGCACCGCCCCAGCUUCCUCUCAGGCGGCGCACGUGGGUGCGCCCCAACCACUAGUCUGUUAGCAAAGAGAGAGGUUUUGUAUAGCUGGAGCUCCACGGUACCCUCUAUCAGAGCCGCACAAUAAAGAAUUAUUUUCCUCGAGAUACGUUCACAUGUUUAAGAUGAGCAGCUCUGCCACUGGAAUCAAAGCCUAAUACUCUGCAGGGGACUGAAAAAGAUUCGAAUUUGAUGGGCCUAGUAGGCUACUGGACAAGACAUGGAGGGCCAAGACUCAGGAAAAAUAAAAAGACAGGACAAGACCGGACGACUCCUCUGUACAAGUACGACGCGUGUAAUCUCGUUCCUUCCAUCGGGCAACAUUUUCUUACUUUUUCUGCCAAAAAAAAAACAUUUUUUUACUUUUGCAUCCUCUUUCUCCUCUUUCGUAUCUGCUUGUACCACCAUGGAUCUGCAGAGCAGCGAGCUCGCUUCUUUCAACAUGAAAAGAGGUGAAGACACCAAGGAGGCAGAGGAGCCCGUAAUGGUGAUAGGGGCAGCUGCCGAACAGACUUCAACUGUGGCGCCUCCGGAUCCAUCCGCAAUGACAUCCGUCUCCAUCUUCCUGGAUCAGAGUGAAAUAGGUGGAAACAACGAUGCCAGACUGUUCCUCAGCUACUGUCUAUGGCACAAGGUUGCAUAGGCCUCUCACACUCUCUCCCAGACUGUUCCUCUGACAACCGGUGCAUGCCACUCUUUUCUCUUCCUUUUUCUUUCUCUAUCGACCCGUGCAUGCAAUUCUCUCUCUCUUAAUUUUGUAAAAAAAACUUUGAACAACGGCACUCUCUCUCUUUAAAACUUGCAUGCAGCAGACUCUCUCUUUA